rnacentral:rRNA from 1 species
UUGCUCUUCAACGAGGAAUACCUAGUAAGCGCAAGUCAUCAGCUUGCGUUGAUUACGUCCCUGCCCUUUGUACACACCGCCCGUCGCUACUACCGAUUGAAUGGCUUAGUGAGGUCUCUGGAUUGACGCUGAGGAGCCGGCAACGGCACCUCGUUGUUGAGAAGUUGAUCAAACUUGGUCAUUUAGAGGAAGUAAAAGUCGUAACAAGGUUUCCGUAGGUGAACCUGCGGAAGGAUCAUUAAUGAAUUGAAAGGGAGUUGAUGCUGGCUAGGUCUCCUGGCAUGUGCUCGCUCUCGACAAUCUUAUCCAUACACCUGUGCACACUGUGAGGGCGUGAAAGCGCCCUUAUUUUAACAUACACCUUAUAUAGUCAUCGCACGUGAUCUGCGUCUUCUGGCGCUUAAAUGAAAAUACAACUUUUAACAACGGAUCUCUUGGCUCUCGCAUCGAUGAAGAACGCAGCGAAAUGCGAUAAGUAAUGUGAAUUGCAGAAUUCAGUGAAUCAUCGAAUCUUUGAACGCACCUUGCGCUCCUUGGUAUUCCGAGGAGCACGCCUGUUCGAGUGUCGUGAAACUCUCAAGCCUGAUGCUUUAUUGUAUCAGCUUGGUUAUUGGACUCUGCUGUCUCCUUCUCUGGAACGGCUGGUCUCAAAUGAAUUAGCUGGCCCUUGUUGUGGGACUUGGUUCUACUCAGCGUGAUAAUCUAUGACCGCUGAGGACAUCUCUCGGGAUGGCCAGACCUGCCUAGGACUGCUUCCAACUCAUCAUUUUCAUGAUAUUUUUCAACUUUGACCUCGAAUCAGGUGGGACUACCCGCUGAACUUAAGCAUAUCAAUAAGCGGAGGA